rnacentral:rRNA from 1 species
GAUGAACGCUGGCGGCGUGCCUAAUACAUGCAAGUCGAGCGAACAGACGAGGAGCUUGCUCCUCUGACGUUAGCGGCGGACGGGUGAGUAACACGUGGAUAACCUACCUAUAAGACUGGGAUAACUUCGGGAAACCGGAGCUAAUACCGGAUAAUAUAUAGAACCGCAUGGUUCUAUAGUGAAAGACGGUUUUGCUGUCACUUAUAGAUGGAUCCGCGCCGCAUUAGCUAGUUGGUAAGGUAACGGCUUACCAAGGCGACGAUACGUAGCCGACCUGAGAGGGUGAUCGGCCACACUGGAACUGAGACACGGUCCAGACUCCUACGGGAGGCAGCAGUAGGGAAUCUUCCGCAAUGGGCGAAAGCCUGACGGAGCAACGCCGCGUGAGUGAUGAAGGUCUUCGGAUCGUAAAACUCUGUUAUUAGGGAAGAACAAAUGUGUAAGUAACUAUGCACGUCUUGACGGUACCUAAUCAGAAAGCCACGGCUAACUACGUG